rnacentral:rRNA from 1 species
GACGAACGCUGGCGGCGUGCUUAACACAUGCAAGUCGAACGGAAAGGCACUGCUUUUGUGGGGUGCUCGAGUGGCGAACGGGUGAGUAACACGUGUGUAACCUGCCCUUGACUUUGGGAUAACUUCAGGAAACUGGGGCUAAUACCAUACAGGAGCUCCUGUAGCAUGGUGGGGGUUGGAACGUUUCGGCGGUUGGGGAUGGACGCGCGGCUUAUCAGCUUGUUGGUGGGGUAGUGGCUUACCAAGGCUUAGACGGAUAGGCGGCCUGAGAGGGUGACCGGCCACAUGGCGCCUACGGGAGGGACCAGUCGGGAAUGUGAGGCAGCAGGGGGAAAUAUUGCACAACGGGCGGAAGCCUGAUACAGCAACGUUGCGUGCGGGAUGACGGUUUUUGGGUUGAAAACCGCUUUAGGCUGUGACGAAGCGGGAGUGACGGUAAUGGGUAAAGAAGCACCGGCUAACUACGUG